rnacentral:lncRNA from 1 species
CAGUUCAUGCAAACUGGUGCCAAAUGGUCAUCCAGUUGAAGCUGACUGGUGCCCAAUUGGUUAGCCAGUUGAACACAUAUGGUGAUCCAGUUAAAGCCAACUGGUGCCCAACUGGUUAACCAGUUGAAACCAUACGGUCAACCAGUUAGAGCCAACUGGUGUCCAAUUGGUUAG